rnacentral:rRNA from 1 species
UACGUAGGGUGCAAGCGUUGUCCGGAUUUAUUGGGUUUAAAGGGUGCGUAGGCGGUUGAAUAAGUUAGUGGUGAAAUCGUGCCGCUCAACGGUACAUUGGCCAUUAAUACUGUUUAACUUGAGUAAGUGGAAGGAAGAUGGAAUGUGUGGUGUAGCGGUGAAAUGCAUAGAUAUCACACAGAACACCUAUUGCGAAGGCAGUCUUCUGUCACUUAACUGACGCUGAGGCACGAAAGCGUGGGGAUCAAACAGG